rnacentral:rRNA from 1 species
UACGGAGGGUGCAAGCGUUGUUCGGAAUUACUGGGCGUAAAGCGCGUGUAGGCGGACCUAUAAGUCAGAUGUGAAAGCCCUGGGCUCAACCCAGGAAGUGCAUCUGAUACUGUAGGCCUUGAGUCCCGGAGAGGGUUGUGGAAUUCCCGGUGUAGAGGUGAAAUUCGUAGAUAUCGGGAGGAACACCAGUGGCGAAGGCGACAACCUGGACGAGGACUGACGCUGAGACGCGAAAGCGUGGGGAGCAAACAGG